AUAGAUGCUUUGAAUGCGAGAAAAAUUCAGUUCGCUCAAGAGUGUUUACGGAACAGAAAUUUCGCGGUGAAGAAAAAACGAACGCACCAGAAGUGCGAAUUUGUUUUAUUCCCUAGCUAUUAAAACGGAGUUAUCAGCAGAAUCCAAUAUCCAAGUCCCCUACUUUGUAUUUUCUCAAGAUUUGUAUCUGGGGUAAUCAGGUAUCCAUAUAAUAAUGAUCAAAUUUGCUCAUUUUUUUCUGGCCUCUAGUUAUUGGUUUUUCGAAUUUUGCUUCCGAUGGGUUAGUUUAGCGGUCUGUUGAGUCGAUCCAAUAUUCUGUGCGAAAUUAGAGAAUGUCCUCACCACGUUAUUAAAAUAAUUUGAAUUUAGGUACAAGAGAUGCCGAUCUAACUACUUAAAAUAACUACGAUCGUAAUGCGUAAGGACCACGGCUCUGCGCACUCUAUGACGUAAAUAUCGGCGCUGCUGUUGGAGUGAUUCUAGUAACAGCAAAACAGACAGCAAAAUAAACGUAAAUCGGACUCUCUCUGAUUAUUAUUGCGCACUUGAGCACAACAUUGGCCUAUUAAAAGAGGACCAUAAAUUGUGGUGUACCCAAGGUUUAAAGCCCGGGCCACUUAAAUUAACGGUCUCUUUGAAGAAUUUUUAGCUAUUAUGGAACUAAACGUUUCCAAAAAGACAGCAAAAUGAAAUGUUGCCAAAUCUGGCGAACCACUGGUUCUGUCUCAGGGCUUGUCAUGACAAGCGCACCCAAACUUCGGAUUUCUCUGAUCCAUUUUUACUUGGAUGGAAAUAAUUUCCAUAGACAUCAAAAUUCUACUAAGCACAGGAUGAGAGACACAAGUGAUGAUUACGUUUUAAAGGCUGAAGUAUAGAUUGUUUACGGAUAGCUUUGGGGUUUCCGGGUGAUGCACUUUACGGAAUUAGCGAAAAUGACUAAAAGGGAAAGUGUCUCUCUUAAAAUGACUUGACUUUCCCUUCGCGGGUGCAUUUUUGUACAUUCACCAAUUGGCUACACCGGGGGAAUUCAAUACUUACGAUUACUCUCUCGAGAUGUCAUCUGGGAGGUAUAAACAAGACUGUACGCUAGACAUGGCUGUCACUUUUGUCAUCCUUUGCAUCCUUUUCACAUCCUUUUCUGCCAGUAACAUUAAUUUUGAAUAAUACGAAAACAAGAAAACACCAAACGAUUGUAGUACACAGAAGAAAAUAUUUGAUGUGCGCUAAAUGAACGCGUGCAGGUGUCUUUAAGGUGAUUUAACGUGGAAGUGUCAGGGGAGGGAGAAAUACUGAUAAAGAGAGAAAGAAGAUGAAAAACAGAGGGAAGGAGGAAGUAUUCAAAGAGGGUGUGGAGGGACAGUGAAAUAAUAAGGGUGGAGGAGGGAGAAAUAAUAAAGGAUGGGGGGAGAGAAAAAGAAGAAAUAAUAAGGGAGGGGAUAGAAGGGAAACAUAAUUAGGGGUGGAGGGGGAGUCGGGAGAAAUAAUGAUGGUUGAAUGGGAAGGACGCUUCUCCUAUAGUGCGGCUUCGUGUUUAACUGGGCCUCGAUUUUGUAUUCGAUAAUAUGAUUAACGCUAGUUAUAAUGCCCCCCCCUUUCCCCUCCCUCGACCCUAAGACUUUGUUGCAUCAACAGUGCUGGAACAACGUCUCGCCAGCAGUUUGCACGGGGCUUUAGCAUUUACCUUAUUAGGUGGUGUGAUCCAGCCCCCUUGGAUUUGAUCCUGAAACUUAUUACGUGCAAAGCAUUUUCACGUGCUGCCUUUGAAAUGCAAAUUAAAGGCUUUUGUUUUCCUGCGGUUAUUAUUUGUACGAUAGGCCCAGCAGUUAACUAUGAUUGGAUGAUUAUAAUUUGAAUGACAGACAAACUUGCACAUGGCUAGCAAGUAGUCACACUCGUAGAAUGGAGAGCCGAACUCUCGACUUUUGCUCUUUAAGUUUAUUCUAUAAAACAUUUACCUGGCAUUUACCUGAACUACAUUGCGUUCCGAAGGUCCAAGCUUGCUCAAAAGAUGAUCAUCAAUAAAGGAGAUCAAGGGGAAGAAGAAUCGUCAACUAACAGAUAAAUUGAAGUUCACCGUGAUUCAGCCAGCUGGAUCGACCAACAAAAGUACUUACCAGAGUCCUCGUGCCAGGUAUCUUCAAGUCUUCUGUCUUCCUCCUCGCCACUCACACUACUGCUGUCCGACUCAUUGUCAGGUGCUUCCUUCGCCAC